rnacentral:rRNA from 1 species
UUUUCCUACGGGGCGCAGCAGUGGGGAAUAUUGCACAAUGGGGGAAACCCUGAUGCAGCGACGCCGCGUGAAGGAAGAAGUAUUUCGGUAUGUAAACUUCUAUCAGCAGGGAAGAAAGUGACGGUACCUGACUAAGAAGCCCCGGCUAACUACGUGCCAGCAGCCGCGGUAAUACGUAGGGGGCAAGCGUUAUCCGGAUUUACUGGGUGUGAAGGGAGCGUAGGCGGCGAUGCAAGUCAGAAGUGAAAGCCCGGGGCUCAACUCCGGGACGGCUUUUGAAACUGUAUGGCUAGAUUGCAGGAGAG